rnacentral:rRNA from 1 species
CCAAUUGGCGGCGUGUCUUAUACAUGCAAGUCGAGCGGACAGAUGGGAGCUUGCUCCCUGAUGUUAGCGGCGGACGGGUGAGUAACACGUGGGUAACCUGCCUGUAAGACUGGGAUAACUCCGGGAAACCGGGGCUAAUACCGGAUGGUUGUCUGAACCGCAUGGUUCAGACAUAAAAGGUGGCUUCGGCUACCACUUACAGAUGGACCCGCGGCGCAUUAGCUAGUUGGUGAGGUAACGGCUCACCAAGGCGACGAUGCGUAGCCGACCUGAGAGGGUGAUCGGCCACACUGGGACUGAGACACGGCCCAGACUCCUACGGGAGGCAGCAGUAGGGAAUCUUCCGCAAUGGACGAAAGUCUGACGGAGCAACGCCGCGUGAGUGAUGAAGGUUUUCGGAUCGUAAAGCUCUGUUGUUAGGGAAGAACAAGUGCCGUUCAAAUAGGGCGGCACCUUGACGGUACCUAACCAGAAAGCCACGGCUAACUACGUGCCAGCAGCCGCGGUAAUACGUAGGUGGCAAGCGUUGUCCGGAAUUAUUGGGCGUAAAGGGCUCGCAGGCGGUUUCUUAAGUCUGAUGUGAAAGCCCCCGGCUCAACCGGGGAGGGUCAUUGGAAACUGGGGAACUUGAGUGCAGAAGAGGAGAGUGGAAUUCCACGUGUAGCGGUGAAAUGCGUAGAGAUGUGGAGGAACACCAGUGGCGAAGGCGACUCUCUGGUCUGUAACUGACGCUGAGGAGCGAAAGCGUGGGGAGCGAACAGGAUUAGAUACCCUGGUAGUCCACGCCGUAAACGAUGAGU